rnacentral:rRNA from 1 species
GACGAACGCUGGCGGCGUGCUUAACACAUGCAAGUCGAACGGUGAAGCUCCAGCUUGCUGGAGUGGAUCAGUGGCGAACGGGUGAGUAACACGUGAGCAACCUGCCCCUGACUCUGGAAUAAGCGCUGGAAACGGCGUCUAAUACUGGAUACGAGAAGGGUCCGCAUGGGCACUUUCUGGAAAGUUUUUCGGUUGGGGAUGGGCUCGCGGCCUAUCAGCUUGUUGGUGAGGUAAUGGCUCACCAAGGCGACGACGGGUAGCCGGCCUGAGAGGGCGACCGGCCACACGGGGACGGGGAAAGGGCCCAGACCCCUACGGGGGGCAAGAGGGGGGAAAAUUGCAAAAGGGGGGAAAGCUGGAUGGAGGGACGCCGGGGGGGGGAGGACGGCCUUCGGGUGGUAAACCGCUUUCAGCAGGGAAGAAGCGAAAGGGACGGUACCGGAAGAAAAAGCACCGGCUAACUACGU